CCAUGUUUUCUGUAGCUCUGCUGCUGCUGUUGGCAGCUGGAUGUGUGAAGUGUGAACAGUUGACACAGCCAGCCUCUGUGACUGUGCAGCCAGGUCAACGUCUGACCAUCACCUGUCAGGUCUCUUAUUCUUUGGGCAGCUACUACACAGCUUGGAUCAGACAGCCUGCAGGGAAAGGACUGGAGUGGAUUGGAAUGAAAUUUACUGGAGCUUCAUACUACAAAGAUUCACUAAAGAACAAGUUCAGUAUCGACUUAGACUCUUCCAGCAACACAGUGACUCUAAACGGACAGAAUGUGCAGCCUGAAGACACAGCAGUGUAUUACUGUGCCAGAGAGCCACAGUGA